rnacentral:rRNA from 2 species
UUGCAGGGUAUAGACCCGAAACCCGGUGAUCUAGCCAUGGGCAGGUUGAAGGUUGGGUAACACUAACUGGAGGACCGAACCGACUAAUGUUGAAAAAUUAGCGGAUGACCUGUGGCUGGGGGUGAAAGGCCAAUCAAACCGGGAGAUAGCUGGUUCUCCCCGAAAGCUAUUUAGGUAGCGCCUCGUGAAUUCAUCUCCGGGGGUAGAGCACUGUUUCGGCUAGGGGGCCAUCCCGGCUUACCAACCCGAUGCAAACUGCGAAUACCGGAGAAUGUUAUCACGGGAGACACACGGCGGGUGCUAACGUCCGUCGUGAAGAGGGAAACAACCCAGACCGCCAGCUAAGGUCCCAAAGUCAUGGUUAAGUGGGAAACGAUGUGGGAAGGCCCAGACAGCCAGGAUGUUGGCUUAGAAGCAGCCAUCAUUUAAAGAAAGCGUAAUAGCUCACUGGUCGAGUCGGCCUGCGCGGAAGAUGUAACGGGGCUAAACCAUG